GUUGAAUAUGCGCUGAAUUUUCCGUAUGGAAAAACGGGGGAACCAACAUUGGCCUAAGUGCCAACGGGGUGAAUCGGGACGGUCCGCAAGGGCUGCAACCGUAGGGCUACCACAGCCCGAAUCCGCCAGCUAACCUCGUAAGCAAUGGUGGGAUAAUGA
rnacentral:sRNA from 2 species